rnacentral:rRNA from 1 species
UAGUUGGUGGGGUAAAGGCCUACCAAGGCGACGAUCUGUAGCGGGUCUGAGAGGAUGAUCCGCCACACUGGAACUGAGACACGGUCCAGACUCCUACGGGAGGCAGCAGUGGGGAAUUUUGGACAAUGGGGGCAACCCUGAUCCAGCCAUGCCGCGUGAGUGAAGAAGGCCUUCGGGUUGUAAAGCUCUUUCGUCCGGGAAGAAAUCGCACAGGCUAAUACUCUGUGUGGAUGACGGUACCGGAAUAAGAAGCACCGGCUAACUACGUGCCAGCAGCCGCGGUAAUACGUAGGGUGCGAGCGUUAAUCGGAAUUACUGGGCGUAAAGCGUGCGCAGGCGGUUUUGUAAGGCAGGCGUGAAAUCCCCGGGCUCAACCUGGGAACUGCGCUUGUGACUGCAAGGCUAGAGUACGGCAGAGGGGGGUGGAAUUCCACGUGUAGCAGUGAAAUGCGUAGAGAUGUGGAGGAACACCGAUGGCGAAGGCAGCCCCCUGGGCCGAUACUGACGCUCAUGCACGAAAGCGUGGGUAGCAAACAGGAUUAGAUACCCUGGUAGUCCACGCCCUAAACGAUGUCAACUAGGUGUUGGGUGGGUAAAACCAUUUAGUACCGUAGCUAACGCGUGAAGUUGACCGCCUGGGGAGUACGGCCGCAAGGUUAAAACUCAAAGGAAUUGACGGGGACCCGCACAAGCGGUGGAUGAUGUGGAUUAAUUCGAUGCAACGCGAAAAACCUUACCUACCCUUGACAUGUCCSGRAUCCCUGAGAGAUUGGGGAGUGCCCGAAAGGGAAUCGGAACACAGGUGCUGCAUGGCUGUCGUCAGCUCGUGUCGUGAGAUGUUGGGUUAAGUCCCGCAACGAGCGCAACCCUUGUCGUUAAUUGCCAUCAUUUAGUUGGGCACUUUAGCGAGACUGCCGG